AGACGGCUCAGCACUGCUUGUCAGGCGACCUUCCCUAUUAAGUCCGCUUCCCUCCUCUUUUAACAGCUACCUGUUGAGAGUCCUAUUUUUAAUGAACAAUUAUAACCUAAGAGCUGUCAUCUGUCAGGUUGUAAACGUUUGUUAAAAAUAGGAGUCCUAGACAUGUAGUCAUUAGACAGCAAAAAAGCCGGAAACAAUAGAAGAAGCCACAGUGGGAGAUGUUAAUUACAUCUGAAUUCAUUACUGAAGUUCAUCUCAGGAAGAAGGGCUGCGGUCUGUGUCCAGUUCUAACAAGAAGGAGGGCUGGUACCCUUCAUAGAAACAGUUCAUCUAGCCUUCAGGAUGCUUCGUUUCUAGUGAAGAACAGACCUGCCCCACCCCCGAAAUGGAAUUACCUGCCUCAACACCUCUACGAUACUUACUCAUCAAGGUGCUAGAGUGUUAUCAGAAAAAUUGAAAGCAGAGGCCAGCGUGACGGUCGCAGAGGCUCCGUGUGAUAUAUACCAUUUGUGUGGAAUAAAGAAAGUGGGCCUAGGUUCCGACUCAGCCCUGAGAACACACACGCAAGUAACACUAUACAGGUGGGCAUAGCUACAGGUGGAUAAACACAGAACACUGCGUGCAGCAAGGCUCGAAGAACAGUAGUGCAGAUCUGUUCUCUGCUCACUCACUGGAUCAGUGAAGAAAUCAAGGCAGAAAGGCGAGAGCCAGUAAAGGCGGAUGCAGAGCUCUGGAGUGACCGAGACCCACACAGGAUGCAUCAGCAAGGGUGUGGCCCUGCUUACCUAGGGUCCAAUUGACUCAUCCAGACUAUCUUGCUUGCCCCUCUGUGAGCUGAGCCUCGCUGGCUGAGUUCUCACACCUCUCAUGAUUGUCACUGGGUGGAACCUGCUACAUAGCAUCACGGUCAGGCCAGUGCUUCUUUAAUUAGCAUUUCAAGUUCACUGAGGUAUGGCUCAUGGGACUGCUCAUCUCCUCCCCACCACAGCCACAGUUCUGGCAGCCCUGGUCACCAGAAGGUGGCCAGGUGAGAUUACCUUUGCCAUUCUGUGGCCAGCUGCAAACCAGCGACCUGGAGAGAAGUCGCCUAUCCACAAGCAGCCCUGGGGAUCCGUCUCUCCAUGCAAAGCAUUUCAAGGCACAGAGGGAACUGUCAUGGUGAGAAUUCUGCUGAGAAUUCUGCCAUAACUCAGGGUGAAACUUCUUUACAAGGAGCAACUUAGAAGGAUGGGGAGGGCAGUGUUGAUCAACUCCACAGUGUGUGUGUGUGUGUGUGUGUGUGUGUGUGUGUGUGUGUGUGUGUGAGAGAGAGAGACAGAGACAGAGACAGAGAGAGACAGAGACAGAGACAGAGAGAUGAGACAGAGAGAGACAGAGAGACAGGGAGAGAGAGACAGAGACAGAGAGAUGAGACAGACAGAGACAGAGAGACAGAGAGAGAGACAGAGAGAGACAGAGACAGAGAGAUGAGACAGAGAGAGACAGAGACAGAGAGAUGAGACAGAGAGAGAGAGAGAGAGAGAGAGAGAGAGAGAGAGAACACAACGGAAGUUCGCCUCCUGUCCUCAAGCUCGUAAUCAAUGUUGAACGCUGUGCAGGACAUACUGCAGGAAUUCUCAGUGAUUCACGGCUUAACUACUCUCAUGGAAGAACAUGGAUGGAGAGAAGCACUCUGUGUGUUUCGGUCGCUGCCGUGGUAUUUUUAGCACUGGUUUCAGUGUUAUGGUUUUUGAUUACUCAGUAAGACAGGAAAUUAAUUUGACUCAAGAUGAAGCUGUCACACCAAGGUCGAGAGCUUUGUGCCUUCCUUCCUUCCUUCCUGACAUUUUGACAUAAGCCUCUGAGAAAUCAAUAGUAAAGUUGAGCUACAGUGACCA
rnacentral:lncRNA from 1 species